UACAGAGGUCCCAAGCGUUGUUCGGAUUCACUGGGCGUAAAGGGUGCGUAGGUGGCUUGGUAAGUUUGAUGUGAAAUCUCCGGGCUUAACCCGGAAAUGGCAUUGAAUACUAUUGAGCUGGAGGUUUGGAGGGGGGAGUGGAAUUCUCGGUGUAGCAGUGAAAUGCGUAGAUAUCGAGAGGAACACCAGUGGCGAAGGCGAGUCCCUGGGAAACACCUGACACUGAGGCACGAAAGCUAGGGGAGCAAACAGG
rnacentral:rRNA from 1 species